rnacentral:lncRNA from 1 species
UAAGAGAAGACAAGACAAAGAAAAUAAAAACCCGAGAGUAAAAGGAAAAGUUUAUAGAACCAAAAAUGUGCCCGCUUGGAAAAGAAUAACAUGUCAACGCUCUGCCGUGGUACCGCCCCCGUCCCUACGUCACGCCAGAAACAAAAGUUCUUUGUCGGAAAGGUGCAGCGAUGGCAUGCUUACUCAUGCGUCGCCAGACCGUGCGAUUUCCUCAGGCUCAAUGAUAUCCCUCACCCUUUGAUCCUGGCUGCGUGCAAGGACCACAGUGGCUUCAAAGAUAGGGCUACAUUCGCAAUCCCGCACGUGGAUGCCAAGGUGUCCUGAUACCGUGGUUCGGACGCUGUAGCGCUGCUCACAGAGCCUAUCAUUCA